rfam:Trachymyrmex zeteki contig15035, whole genome shotgun sequence.
CAUCGCAGAACAAAGGGGAGGUUUUAGUGGGUAGGUGGCCCAUGGAUAUAUAACUCGAUUGAGUGUGCGUUGGCCAAAUCCCACACUCCCUCGGUUAAGUCGACCGGGGGGUCUAUGAAGAUUUCCCCCUCUACAAU